UAGAGACUCGCUUUCUUCCUUGCUUAUUAUGUUUAAUUUUAUAAUCUAUAUUUUUACUUUUUUUUUUCUGCUUUGAUUCAUUCCUAGGUGUUUCCUUUAUAUUCAUUAUAUUCCUAGGUAACCCUGACACAUCUCAAGGACAAGCCUGCAUCGUCUACACCAACUGCGUCAUCCUCAAGUUUCAAUGCUAGUAGUGGGGUACAGUCUGCGGCAGCUAGAUUAUUGGGAGGAAGCAACGGAAGCCGAGCACUUAGUUUUUUUGGAGGCAACGGUAGUAGCAAGAAUAAUGGAGGGAACAAUAGGAUUGGUUCCAUUGGAGCCUCCAGUACAAGUAGUUCAAUGGCUAAUCCAAAUUUUGAUGGGAAAGGUACUUGAUAUUCAAUGUCGGUGAGGCAAUUUCAUCAGCAAUUUGACUUCUAAAAACAAGGUUUGAUACAACCUUGAUCCCAAGGCUCAGAUACCAAGCCCUUUAAUGUGGCUGGAAGCAUAGCUGUUAAACUAUGGUGUCAGCUCAUAAACUUGUUAACGAGUGCACUCCUGUAAAUUGGGCCUAAGUUGAUUGUAAAGUCAUUUCUUGGUGAACUUAGAGGCAUGCCUCAAUGCAACCAGAUCCUCAUUGAAUGAAAAAUGGGUU